ACAAAUCUGGAGAUAGCUGGUUCUCCCCGAAAACUAUUGAGGUAGUGCCUCGUGUGUCGCUCCAGGGGGUAGAGCACUGUUUUGGCUAGGGGGACAUGGAGUCUUACCAAACCAAGGCAAACUCCGAAUACCUGGAAGCGUAAGCACGGGAGACAGAGCACCGGGUGCUAACGUCCGGACUCAAAAGGGAAACAACCCAGACCGCCGGCUAAGGUCCCAAAUAACAGCUAAGUGGAAAACGAAGUGGAAAGGCCGUGACAACCAGGAAGUUGGCUUAGAAGCAGCCAUCCUUCAAAGAAAGCGUAAUAGCUCACUGGUCGAGUCCUUCUGCGCGGAAGAUGUAACGGGGCUAAGCUGUUAACCGAAGCCGCGGAUGCGCUGGUUAUCCAGUGCGUGGUAGGGGAGCGUUCUGUAAGUCUGCGAAGGCGGUUCGAGAGGACUGCUGGAGAUAUCAGAAGUGCGAAUGCUGACAUGAGUAACGUUAAAGCAGGUGAAAAGCCUGCUCGCCGUAAGCCCAAGGAUUCCUGCUCUACGUUCAUCGGAGCAGGGUGAGUCGGCUCCUAAGGUCAGGCCGAAAGGCGUAGCCGAUGGGAAUCAGGUUAAUAUUCCUGAACCUGCGUCAGAUGCGAUGGGGGGACGGAGCAUGGAAGAUCAUCCGGGUGUUGGAAGUCCCGGUUGUUUAGCGUAGGAGGUCUGCAGGCAAAUCCGCAGACGCAUCUCCAAGGCAAAGACACGUGCCGCCACGGCGGCGAAGUGAUCGGAAGUGCUUCCAAGAAAAGCCUCUAAGCCCCAGUCUGACGCGGACCGUACCGCAAACCGACACUGGUGGGCGAGCUGAAUAUGCUCAGGCGCUUGAGAGAACUCGGGAGAAGGAACUCGGCAAAUUGACACCGUAACUUCGGAAGAAGGUGUGCCGUAGUACCGUGAGAGGAGAGACACCUUGAGCGGGAAACGGUCUCAGAGAAUAGGUGGUUGCGACUGUUUAUUAAAAACACAGCACUCUGCAAAGUCGAAAGACGACGUAUAGGGUGUGAUGCCUGCCCGGUGCUGGAAGAUUAAUUGAUGGGGUGAGAGCCCUUGAUCGAAGUCCCAGUAAACGGCGGCCGUAACUAUAACGGUCCUAAGGUAGCGAAAUUCCUUGUCGGGUAAGUUCCGACCUGCACGAAUGGCAUAACGAUGGCCACACUGUCUCCUCCCGAGACUCAGUGAAGUUGAAAUGUUUGUGAUGAUGCAAUCUACCCGCGGCUAGACGGGAAGACCCCAUGAACCUUUACUGCAGCUUUGCAUUGAACUGUGAACCGAUUUGUGUAGGAUAGGUGGGAGGCAGAGAAGAGGCCACGCCAGUGGCCUUGGAGCCGACCUUGAAAUACCACCCUGAUUUGUUUGCGGUUCUAACCACGGACAGUGAUCCUGUCUUGGGACCGUGCAUGGUAGGCAGUUUGACUGGGGCGGUCUCCUCCUAAAGGGUAACGGAGGAGUACGAAGGUACGCUAGGUACGGUCGGAAAUCGUGCUGAUAGUGCAAUGGCAAAAGCGUGCUUGACUGCGAGAGCAACAACUCGAGCAGAUGCGAAAGCAGGUCAUAGUGAUCCGGUGGCUCUGAAUGGAAGGGCCAUCGCUCAACGGAUAAAAGGUACUCUGGGGAUAACAGGCUGAUACCGCCCAAGAGUUCAUAUCGACGGCGGUGUUUGGCACCUCGAUGUCGGCUCAUCUCAUCCUGGGGCUGUAGUCGGUCCCAAGGGUAUGGCUGUUCGCCAUUUAAAGAGGUACGUGAGCUGGGUUUAAAACGUCGUGAGACAGUUUGGUCCCUAUCUGCCGUGGGCGUUGGAAGAUUGACGGGGGCUGCUCCUAGUACGAGAGGACCGGAGUGGACGCACCUCUGGUGUACCGGUUGUCACGCCAGUGGCAUUGCCGGGUAGCUAAGUGCGGAAGAGAUAACCGCUGAAAGCAUCUAAGCGGGAAACUUGCCUGAAGAUGAGUCUUCCCGGAGGUUGAACCUCCCUCAAGAGUCGUCCGAGACCAGGACGUCGAUAGGUCAGGUGUGUAAGCGCUGUAAGGCGUUGAGCUAACUGAUACUAAUUGCUCGUGAGGCUUGAUCCU
rnacentral:rRNA from 1 species